rfam:Chloroflexi bacterium RBG_16_47_49 RBG_16_scaffold_21688, whole genome shotgun sequence.
CUUUAUUAGGGAGGCAACGAUCCACAGGUGACGAAUGGUCGCUUCCUCAGUUAUCUACCAGAAGAUAGUGAGGAAUACCUAUGGAGAGCCAAUUGCGAAACCGGCCCAGAUAUUG